GCCACAAAUAAACACAGAAAUAGUCCAGAAUGUCACAGGUCCAGGGCAGAGGACCGACAUGGGCAGUUUUGUUUAUGAGCAAGUUGGGUCUCAGAGGUGAUCGGCGAUCAGAGGGCGAUGAAGUUCUAGAUCCAUUGAGACAAGCUCUAGGCAGUAGCAUCAUCCCCAGCGUCUGGUGUUCCAUGUUUCUGCUCCUGUGGCCUCCACG
rnacentral:lncRNA from 1 species